ACUGCGCCCUUGUUUGGACAAGACGAGGAGGCGCACUCAGAGUCAGAGACCCCGGGGCAGAGACAGGGGCAAGAAGAAGGGGCCACCGAGACCCCAAGAGAGUCAGGGAGACAGACGCACCAAACGACCGACACAACCAGGGACAGGUUCAAGCAAUUCUCCUGCCUCAGCCUCGCGAGUAGCUGGGAUUACAGAUAUCCUUCGAGUUGGAUUUCGACUGGGUUCUGCCAGUGGGAUGUAUCCAUGCGAGAUUCUGGAACUAACAUCAGAGAGAGUCCAAGCUUCUAACUUUUAUCAGCGGCAGUGACAAUAGUCAAGCAGCAUUGAUGACAAACGGCAAGAGUUUAGAAAGUACCAGUGACGUGCCUGAUAGAAUCUCACCACAAGAUGGAAGCCAACUCGUCAGAAGCCUGGAAAGCCCACCCAGCGUGGGACCUCUGUGGGUCCAGGAUCUUGGAAUGGUAUCCCAUGGUUCAAUCUUCUGGAUUCAACCACAUAAAUUUACCCCACCCAUGUCGUGGACCCAAGCUUCCUACCAUGUAUACUUAGCUUAAAUGCAAGAUAGUACUAUUUUGUUCAUCUUGAUUGGAGUGAGAAAUGAAUAGGUCCAUGCACAUAUAUUUCUUUUACCACAACAAGAUGAUGAAGAAAUAAAUCCAUAAUAUCGAUACUUUUGUAUAAGUUGUGUUUACAGUUGCGGUAAGAAAUUUUAUAAUUGUUGAUUUGCUUUAUAUAAUUUCUGCUUGCUUUUUAUGAUAUUUAAAACAAAAUCUAAGCAACAAAUUUUAUGUCUGAUUAGAUUUACAGAAGCUGCUUAAGUGCUUAGGGAUAAUUUGUUCAUCAUAUUUGUAAGUCUCCCUUGUUAGGUGUUUGAAGUGUUUGAAUUGGCUAAAUUAAAUUUGUAAUUGUAGUUUGAAAUAUCUAAAGGAAUUUUCUUAAUUAAGUGUUUAAAUGAUGUUAAAAGUUUGUGGGAAUUUAAUCUAUCAAAUUUAUGAGUUAAUUGAAUAUGAAUCAAUGAACAAGUAAAUGUGAUCUUGCUUUUAUAUAAAAACUACUAAGUUCAUAAAUAAAAUACAAAGAUCCAUAAGUUGAGAGGAAAAGCAAAAGA
rnacentral:lncRNA from 10 species